GACGAACGCUGGCGGCGUGCUUAACACAUGCAAGUCGAACGGAAAGGCCCUGCUUUUGUGGGGUGCUCGAGUGGCGAACGGGUGAGUAACACGUGAGUAACCUGCCCUUGACUUUGGGAUAACUUCAGGAAACUGGGGCUAAUACCGGAUAGGAGCUCCUGCUGCAUGGUGGGGGUUGGAAAGUUUCGGCGGUUGGGGAUGGACUCGCGGCUUAUCAGCUUGUUGGUGGGGUAGUGGCUUACCAAGGCUUUGACGGGUAGCCGGCCUGAGAGGGUGACCGGCCACAUUGGGACUGAGAUACGGCCCAGGCUCCUACGGGAGGCAGCAGUGGGGAAUAUUGCACAAUGGGCGGAAGCCUGAUGCAGCAACGCCGCGUGCGGGAUGACGGCCUUCGGGUUGUAAACCGCUUUCGCCUGUGACGAAGCGUGAGUGACGGUAAUGGGUAAAGAAGCACCGGCUAACUACGUGCCAGCAGCCGCGGUGAUACGUAGGGUGCGAGCGUUGUCCGGAUUUAUUGGGCGUAAAGGGCUCGUAGGUGGUUGAUCGCGUCGGAAGUGUAAUCUUGGGGCUUAACCCUGAGCGUGCUUUCGAUACGGGUUGACUUGAGGAAGGUAGGGGAGAAUGGAAUUCCUGGUGGAGCGGUGGAAUGCGCAGAUAUCAGGAGGAACACCAGUGGCGAAGGCGGUUCUCUGGGCCUUUCCUGACGCUGAGGAGCGAAAGCGUGGGGAGCGAACAGGCUUAGAUACCCUGGUAGUCCACGCUGUAAACGGUGGGUACUAGGUGUGGGGUCCAUUCCACGGGUUCCGUGCCGUAGCUAACGCUUUAAGUACCCCGCCUGGGGAGUACGGCCGCAAGGCUAAAACUCAAAGGAAUUGACGGGGCCCCGCACAAGCGGCGGAGCAUGCGGAUUAAUUCGAUGCAACGCGUAGAACCUUACCUGGGUUUGACAUGGAUCGGGAGUGCUCAGAGAUGGGUGUGCCUCUUUUGGGGUCGGUUCACAGGUGGUGCAUGGCUGUCGUCAGCUCGUGUCGUGAGAUGUUGGGUUAAGUCCCGCAACGAGCGCAACCCUUGUUCACUGUUGCCAGCACGUUAUGGUGGGGACUCAGUGGAGACCGCCGGGGUCAACUCGGAGGAAGGUGGGGAUGACGUCAAGUCAUCAUGCCCCUUAUGUCCAGGGCUUCACGCAUGCUACAAUGGCUGGUACAGAGAGUGGCGAGCCUGUGAGGGUGAGCGAAUCUCGGAAAGCCGGUCUCAGUUCGGAUUGGGGUCUGCAACUCGACCUCAUGAAGUCGGAGUCGCUAGUAAUCGCAGAUCAGCAACGCUGCGGUGAAUACGUUCCCGGGGCU
rnacentral:rRNA from 1 species